rnacentral:tRNA from 1 species
CCCUGGUUAUCUCAGUUGGUAGAGCGCUCGACCUGUACUGGUGAGGUUCCGGGUUCGAUACCCGGACCAGGCG